rnacentral:rRNA from 1 species
UGGAGGAAAGCAGGGGAUCGAAAGACCUUGCGCUUAAGGAGCGGCCGAUGUCUGAUUAGCUAGUUGGUGGGGUAAAGGCCUACCAAGGCGACGAUCAGUAGUUGGUCUGAGAGGACGACCAACCACACUGGGACUGAGACACGGCCCAGACUCCUACGGGAGGCAGCAGUGGGGAAUUUUGGACAAUGGGCGCAAGCCUGAUCCAGCCAUGCCGCGUGAGUGAAGAAGGCCUUCGGGUUGUAAAGCUCUUUCAGUUGGGAAGAAACGAUUACAACUAAUAAUUGUAAUUAAUGACGGUACCGACAGAAGAAGCACCGGCUAACUACGUGCCAGCAGCCGCGGUAAUACGUAGGGUGCGAGCGUUAAUCGGAAUUACUGGGCGUAAAGGGUGCGCAGGCGGUUUUGUAAGUCAGAUGUGAAAUCCCCGGGCUUAACCUGGGAAUGGCGUUUGAA